GUUUUACUUCGCCCUUUCUGUUGUGACUACUAUGCUCCUUGCUUGUCCUACUAAGCACACCCAAGCUCAAGGUAUUCCAACACCUGAAGUGAAAGUGGUCCCUGCUUACAUCCGACAGUCUGACUCUGUCAAUCUGACUUGUGAGACAUCUCUGUCUCCUUUGUCUUAUUGUUAUUUCUGCACAACACUUCAAAACUGUGACUGGAAGGGCUCUGAUUCAUGCAGAUUGGCA